CCAACCGGACUCUCAUCCCGACCCCGACGGAUGAGGAGACCUCAUUCCCCCCCUCGGACUCUCACUUGUAGGAGCUCCUCUACCGAGCUCUCAUCCGGCGAUGGCGCCAACGGCUGGCCCUCCCGCGCCUCCACGGAGGUUUCCCGCACUGUCCACGGAGCUUUCUCCACCUAGGUGGGGAAACAACAAUGAAGUGAAUGGCUCAUUGCAGAAUGAGGUGAAUGAGCCUGCAUAUAUAGAGAUGAAAGUCACUGCGAUUUCAAAUAUAGCCGUUGGGAUAUGACCGUUUGAAAUAUAGCCGUUUGAAAAAUAGUUGUUGGAAUAUAGCCGUUUGAAUAUAGUCGUUUGAAUUAUACCAUUUUGAAAUAAAGUGUCCUGACGAGUGACCCAUUUAGUGGGUCACUAACCGAUUUAGUCGGUCAA